GAGUUUGAUCGUGGCUCAGAUUGAACGCUGGCGGCAUACCUUACACAUGCAAGUCGAACGGCAGCAUGAUCUAGCUUGCUAGAUUGAUGGCGAGUGGCGAACGGGUGAGUAAUACAUCGGAACGUGCCCUGUAGUGGGGGAUAACUAGUCGAAAGAUUAGCUAAUACCGCAUACGACCUGAGGGUGAAAGUGGGGGACCGCAAGGCCUCAUGCUAUAGGAGCGGCCGAUGUCUGAUUAGCUAGUUGGUGGGGUAAAGGCCCACCAAGGCGACGAUCAGUAGCUGGUCUGAGAGGACGAUCAGCCACACUGGGACUGAGACACGGCCCAGACUCCUACGGGAGGCAGCAGUGGGGAAUUUUGGACAAUGGGCGAAAGCCUGAUCCAGCAAUGCCG
rnacentral:rRNA from 1 species